UAGGGAAUAUUAGAAAUGGACGAAAGUCUGAUCUAGCAACACCGCGUGUGCGAAGAAGGCCUUUGGGUCCUAAAGCACUUUUUGAGAGGAUGAGGAAGGACGGUUCUCUCAGAAUAAGUCUCGGCUAACUACGUGCCAGCAGCCGCGGUAACACGUAGGAGGCGAACGUUAUCCGGAUUUACUGGGCGUAAAGCGCGUGUAGGUGGUGUGGUGAGUAGGGCGUGAAAGCUCCUGGCUCAACUGGGAGAGGCCGUUCUAAACUGCCGAACUAGAGGAUGGUAGAUGGAGGUGGAAUUCCGGGUGUAGCGGUGGAAUGCGCAGAUAUCCGGAGGAACACCAGAGGCGAAAGCGGCCUCCUGGACCAUUCCUGACACUCAGACGCGAAAGCUAGGGUAGCAAACGG
rnacentral:rRNA from 1 species